GCCAACUUCCUGUGGAGGGGCUCUGUUUUGAAGUCAGAGCAGAGGCGUUCGAGUCGUCUAGUUGGCU
rnacentral:tRNA from 1 species